rnacentral:tRNA from 1 species
CUAGAUGUAGGAGAGAUGGUUAAUCCGCUUGCUUUGGGAGCAAGAGAUCGCUGGUUCGAAUCCAGUCAUCUAGA